rnacentral:lncRNA from 1 species
UAGGCCAUCUUUUGAUAUAUAUGCAGCUAGAGUCAAGAGCUCCGGGGUACUGGUUAGCUCAUAAUGUUGUUCCACCUAUAGGGUUGCAGAUCCCUUUAGCUCCUUGGCUACUUUCUCUAGCUCCUCCAUUGGGAGCCCUAUGAUCCAUCCAUUAGCUGACUGUGAGCAUCCACUUCUGUGUUUGCUGGGCCCCGGCCUAGUCUCACAAGAGACAGCUACAUCUGCGUCCUUUCAAUAAAAUCUUGCUAGUGUAUGCAAUGGUGUCAGCGUUUGGAUGCUGAUUAUGGGGUGGAUCCCUGGAUAUGGCAGUCUCUACAUGGUCCAUCCUUUAAUCUCAGCUCAAAACUCCGUCUCUGUAACUCCUUCCAUGGGUGUUUUGUUCCCAAAUCUAAGGAGGGGCAUAGUGUCCACACUUCAGUCUUCAUUCUUCUUGAGUUUCAUGUGUUUAGCAAAUUAUAUCUUAUAUCUUGGGUAUCCUAGGUUUGGGGCUAAUAUCCACUUAUCAGUGAAUACAUAUUGUGUGAAUUUCUUUGUGAAUGUGUUACCUCACUCAGGAUGGUGCCCUCCAAGUCCAUCCAUUUGGCUAGGAAUUUCAUAAAUUCAUUCUUUUUAAUAGCUGAGUAGUACUCCAUUGUGUAGAUGUACCACAUUUUCUGUAUCCAUUCCUCUGUUGAGGGGCAUCUAGGUUCUUUCCAGCUUCUGGCUAUUAUAAAUAAGGCUGCUAUGAACAUAGUGGAGCAUGUGUCCUUCUUACCUGUUGGGGCAUCUUCUGGAUAUAUGCCCAGGAGAGGUAUUGCUGGAUCCUCCGGUAGUACUAUGUCCAGUUUUCUGAGGAACCGCCAGACUGAUUUCCAGAGUGGUUGUACAAGCCUGCACUCCCACCAACAAUGGAGGAGUGUUCCUCUUUCUCCACAUCCUCGCCAGCAUCUGCUGUCACCUGAAUUUUUGAUCUUAGCCAUUCUGACUGGUGUGAGGUGGAAUCUCAGGGUUGUUUUGAUUUGCAUUUCCCUGAUGAUUAAGGAUGUUGAACAUUUUUUCAAGUGCUUCUCUGCCAUUCGGUAUUCCUCAGGUGAGAAUUCUUUGUUCAGUUCUGAGCCCCAUUUUUUAAUGGGGUUAUUUGAUUUUCUGAAGUCCACCUUCUUGAGUUCUUUAUAUAUGUUGGAUAUUAGUCCCCUAUCUGAUUUAGGAUAGGUAAAGAUCCUUUCCCAAUCUGUUGGUGGUCUUUUUGUCUUAUUGACGGUGUCUUUUGCCUUGCAGAAACUUUGGAGUUUUAUUAGGUCCCAUUUGUCAAUUCUCGAUCUUACAGCACAAGCCAUUGCUAUUCUGUUCAGGAAUUUUUCCCCUGUGCCCAUAUCUUCAAGGCUUUUCCCCACUUUCUCCUCUAUAAGUUUCAGUGUCUCUGGUUUUAUGUGAAGUUCCUUGAUCCACUUAGAUUUGACCUUAGUACAAGGAGAUAAGUAUGGAUCGAUUCGCAUUCUUCUACACGAUAACAACCAGUUGUGCCAGCACCAAUUGUUGAAAAUGCUGUCUUUCUUCCACUGGAUGGUUUUAGCUCCCUUGUCGAAGAUCAAGUGACCAUAGGUGUGUGGGUUCAUUUCUGGGUCUUCAAUUCUAUUCCAUUGGUCUACUUGUCUGUCUCUAUACCAGUACCAUGCAGUUUUUAUCACAAUUGCUCUGUAGUAAAGCUUUAGGUCUGGCAUGGUGAUUCCGCCAGAAGUUCUUUUAUCCUUGAGAAGACUUUUUGCUAUCCUAGGUUUUUUGUUAUUCCAGACAAAUUUGCAAAUUGCUCCUUCCAAUUCGUUGAAGAAUUGAGUUGGAAUUUUGAUGGGGAUUGCAUUGAAUCUGUAGAUUGCUUUUGGCAAGAUAGCCAUUUUUACAAUGUUGAUCCUGCCAAUCCAUGAGCAUGGGAGAUCUUUCCAUCUUCUGAGAUCUUCCUUAAUUUCUUUCUUCAGAGAUUUGAAGUUUUUAUCAUACAGAUCUUUCACUUCCUUAGUUAGAGUCACGCCAAGAUAUUUUAUAUUAUUUGUGACUAUUGAGAAGGGUGUUGUUUCCCUAAUUUCUUUCUCAGCCUGUUUAUUCUUUGUAUAGAGAAAGGCCAUUGACUUGUUUGAGUUUAUUUUAUAUCCAGCUACUUCACCGAAGCUGUUUAUCAGGUUUAGGAGUUCUCUGGUAGAAUUUUUAGGGUCACUUAUAUAUACUAUCAUAUCAUCUGCAAAAAGUGAUAUUUUGACUUCCUCUUUUCCAAUUUGUAUCCCCUUGAUCUCCUUUUGUUGUCGAAUUGCUCUGGCUAAUACUUCAAGUACUAUGUUUAAAAGGUAGGGAGAAAGUGGGCAGCCUUGUCUAGUCCCUGAUUUUAGUGGGAUUGCUUCCAGCUUCUCUCCAUUUACUUUGAUGUUGGCUACUGGUUUGCUGUAGAUUGCUUUUAUUAUGUUUAGGUAUGGGCCUUGAAUUCCUGAUCUUUCCAAAACUUUUAUCAUGAAUGGGUGUUGGAUCUUGUCAAAUGCUUUUUCUGCAUCUAACGAGAUGAUCAUGUGGUUUUUGUCUUUGAGUUUGUUUAUAUAAUGGAUUACAUUGAUGGAUUUUCGUAUAUUAAACCAUCCCUGCAUCCCUGGAAUAAAACCUACUUGGUCAGGAUGGAUGAUUGCUUUAAUGUGUUCUUGAAUUCGGUUAGCGAGAAUUUUAUUGAGGAUUUUUGCAUCGAUAUUCAUAAGAGAAAUUGGUCUGAAGUUCUCUAUCUUUGUUGGGUCUUUCUGUGGUUUAGGUAUCAGAGUAAUAGUGGCUUCAUAAAAUGAGUUGGGUAGAGUACCUUCUACUUCUAUUUUGUGAAAUAGUUUGUGCAGAAUUGGAAUUAGAUCUUCUUUGAAGGUCUGGUAGAACUCUGCACUAAACCCAUCUGGUCCUGGGCUUUUUUUGGUUGGGAGACUAUUAAUAACUGCUUCUAUUUCUUUAGGUGAUAUGGGACUGUUUAGAUGGUCAACUUGAUCCUGAUUCAACUUUGGUACCUGGUAUCUGUCCAGAAAUUUGUCCAUUUCGUCCAGGUUUUCCAGUUUUGUUGAGUAUAGCCUUUUGUAGAAGGAUCUGAUGGUGUUUUGGAUUUCUUCAGGAUCUGUUGUUAUGUCUCCCUUUUUAUUUCUGAUUUUGUUAAUUAGGAUUUUGUCCCUGUGCCCUUUAGUGAGUCUAGCUAAGGGUUUAUCUAUCUUGUUGAUUUUCUCAAAGAACCAACUCCUCGUUUGGUUAAUUCUUUGAAUAGUUCUUCUUGUUUCCACUUGGUUGACUUCACCCCUGAGUUUGAUUAUUUCCUGCCGUCUACUCCUCUUGGGUGAAUUUGCUUCCUUUUUUUCUAGGGCUUUUAGAUGUGUUGUCAAGCUGCUAGUAUGUGCUGUCUCCCGUUUCUUCUUGGAGGCACUCAGAGCUAUGAGUUUCCCUCUUAGAAAUGCUUUCAUUGUGUCCCAUAGGUUUGGGUACGUUGUGGCUUCAUUUUCAUUAAACUCUAAAAAGUCUUUAAUUUCUUUCUUUAUUCCUUCCUUGACCAAGGUAUCAUUGAGAAGAGUGUUAUUCAGUUUCCACGUGAAUGUUGGCUUUCCAUUAUUUAUGUUGUUAUUGAAGAUCAGUCUUAGGCCAUGGUGGUCUGAUAGGAUACAUGGGACAAUUUCAAUAUUUUUGUAUCUAUUGAGGCCUGUUUUGUGACCAAUUAUAUGGUCAAUUUUGGAGAAGGUCCCGUGAGGUGCUGAGAAGAAGGUAUAUCCUUUUGUUUUAGGAUAAAAUGUUCUGUAGAUAUCUGUCAGGUCCAUUUGUUUCAUAACUUCUGUUAGUUUCACUGUGUCCCUGUUUAGUUUCUGUUUCCACGAUCUGUCCUUUGAAGAAAGUGGUGUGUUGAAGUCUCCCACUAUUAUUGUGUGAGGUGCAAUGUAUGCUUUGAGCUUUACUAAAGUAUCUCUAAUGAAUGUGGCUGCCCUUGCAUUUGGUGCGUAGAUAUUCAAAAUUGAGAGUUCCUCUUGGAGGAUUUUACCUUUGAUGAGUAUGAAGUGUCCCUCCUUGUCUUUUUUGAUAACUUUGGGUUGGAAGUCGAUUUUAUCCGAUAUUAAAAUGGCUACUCCAGCUUGUUUCUUCAGUCCAUUUGCUUGGAAAAUUGUUUUCCAGCCUUUCAUUCUGAGGUAGUGUCUGUCUUUUUCCCUGAGAUGGGUUUCCUGUAAGCAGCAGAAUGUUGGGUCCUGUUUGUGUAGCCAGUCUGUUAGUCUAUGUCUUUUUAUUGGGGAAUUGAGUCCAUUGAUAUUAAGAGGUAUUAAGGAAAAGUAAUUGUUGCUCCCUUUUAUUUUUGUUGUUAGAGUUGGCAUUCUGUUCUUGUGGCUGUCUUCUUUUUGGUUUGUUGAAUGAUUACUUUCUUGGUUGUUCUAGGGCGUGAUUUCCGUCCUUGUAUUGCUUCUUUUCUUUUAUUAUCCUUUGAAGGGCUGGAUUCGUGGAAAGAUAUUGUGUGAACUUGGUUUUGUCGUGGAAUACUUUGGUUUCUCCAUCUAUGGUAAUUGAGAGUUUGGCCGGGUAUAGUAGCCUGGGCUGGCAUUUGUGUUCUCUUAGUGUCUGUAUAACAUCUGUCCAGGCUCUUCUGGCUUUCAUAGUCUCUGGUGAAAAGUCUGGUGUAAUUCUGAUCGGCCUUCCUUUAUAUGUUACUUGACCUUUCUCCCUUACUGCUUUUAAUAUUCUAUCUUUAUUUAGUGCAUUUGUUGUUCUGAUUAUUAUGUGUCGGGAGGAAUUUCUUUUCUGGUCCAGUCUAUUUGGAGUUCUGUAUGCUUCUUGUAUGAUCAUGGGCAUCUCUUUUUUUAUGUUUGGGAAGUUUUCUUCUAUUAUUUUGUUGAAGAUAUUAGCUGGCCCUUUAAGUUGAAAAUCUUCAUUCUCAUCAAUUCCUAUUAUCCUUAGGUUUGGUCUUCUCAUUGUGUCCUGGAUUACCUGGAUGUUUUGAGUUAGGAUCCUUUUGCAUUUUGUAUUUUCUUUGACUGUUGUGUCGAUGUUCUCUAUGGAAUCUUCUGCACCUGAGAUUCUCUCUUCCAUUUCUUGUAUUCUGUUGCUGAUGCUCGCAUCUAUGGUUCCAGAUCUCUUUCCUAGGGUUUCUAUCUCCAGCGUUGCCUCGCUUUGGGUUUUCUUUAUUGUGUCUACUUCCCCUUUUAGUUCUAGUAUGGUUUUGUUCAUUUCCAUCACCUGUUUGGCUGUGUUUUCCUGCUUUUCUUUAAGAGCCUGUAACUCUUUAGCAGUGCUCUCCUGUAAAUCUUUAAGUGACUUAUGAAAGUCCUUCUUGAUGUCCUCUAUCAUCAUCAUGAGAAAUGUUUUUAAAUCUGGGUCUAGAUUUUCGGUUGUGUUGGGGUGCCCAGGACUAGGUGGGGUGGGAGUGCUGCGUUCUGAUGAUGGUGAGUGGUCUUGAUUUCUGUUAGUAGGAUUCUUACGUUUGCCUUUCGCCAUCUGGUAAUCUCUGAAGCUAGCUGUUUUAGUUGUCACUGUUAAGAGCUUGUUCUUCAGGUGACUCUGUUAGCCUCUAUGAGCAGACCUGGAGGGUAGCACUCUCCUUAGUUUCAGUGGGCAGAGUAUUCUCUGCAGGCAAGCUCUCUUCUUGCAAGGCAGGUACCCAGAUAUCUGGUGUUCGAACCAGACUCCUGGCAGAAGUUGUGUUCCACUCACUAGAGGUCUUAGGAUCACGUGUGGAAUCCUGUGUGGGCCCUUGCGGGUGUCAGGCGACUCAGCUGGCAAGGUAGCCCGGGGCUCGAGUGGAGUGGAAGGGGUUUGUGCCCCAGAUCAAGCCCGGGUAGCCUGCUUCCCUAUGUACCACAGUCUCAGGUUCCGCGCGAUUGGAUUGGGGCAGGCGCUGUGUUCCACUCACCAGAGGUCUUAGGGUCCCGUGGGGAGUCCCGUGUGGGCCCUUGCGGGUGUUGGGCAAGACUCUGCUGGCAAGGUAGCCCGGGGCUGGAGUCUCGAGUCGAGCGGAAGGGACUUGUGCCCCAGAUCAGGCCCGGGUAGCCUGCUUCCCUAUGUACCGCAGUCUCAAGUUCCUCGCAAUUGGAUU